CGUUCGCACUUAGUAUUACCUACCUGCCGACCUAAAGGAUUUCUAUUGGAUACUUACCUGUCUUCCUCGUUCUCAAGUUACCGCGUGUGCGUGUGCGUGUGCGUGUGCGUGUGCGUGUGCGUCCCGCAACGUCUCUUCUACUUGGAUUCUUCUAGGACCUUCAUCAUAUAUCAUCUCAAGGACAGUAUUCAGUUUACUCCCUCUCAUCCCUGACCUCAAGAACACUCGCUACUAUAUUUACUCAAAUACCAUCUUACCUGUUAUCUUCUGUCUCCGUCCCUUCUGUACUGUAACAAAACUAUGGAUCCUCUGUUCCCAGACCCAACCAUUCAUCUGAAGGACUGUGAAAAUAUGAACCCUUUGAACCACCGGUGACUGAUAUUUCACUGAAAUUAAAUAUAAUUUAAUUACAUUUAGUCUGCUAGUCAGAAUUAUAGCUGAUUAACCAUCUAAGCGCCAAAGUCGCAAAAUUGUGUCAAGACGUCAUACAUAAAAUAGACUGUAGUUCCUAAUAUGGUGUAAUAUCUCAUUUGUAUUCCCUACCACUAGAUGGCAGACAUGUAGUACUUCGAUUCUAGACCAUCAUUACGUCAUGUUCCUAUUCAAAGUGUUCAAGGAAAUAACGCCAUAGCAAAGCAGCUCUCGUGUCAUCGAUGCGGAAGAACUUAAGUUCAUAGCGUGCGAGUAAAUGGUGACAAUCAGUCGUCUAAUAGUCGCGAUUCUUCCAGUACAUCUUUGCAGCGCAAUGGUGCCGCCGUGCAAGGCGAGAGUGUUCACAAAGCACAACCAAAUUAUAAUUUCGACCCUUUGCCCAACGGGGAAGGGGGUGGCAGUGGUGAACGUGGUCAUAAGCUGUGUCCCAAAGUUGAGUGUGCACACUUCGAAGGCCACGGACUUCGAAGACCAGACCUCCGAAGUGCGUGAGAUGCUCCGCCUUCACAGGGUUUCCUAAUUCCGCCACCAGGUUUUUCCGAUUAGUGCUCUGUCGCAUAGCAACGGUGCGAGAAGAGCGCUGACGAGAGGACAGUCCUGCCAGGAUAGGAGUUUUUAUGUUUUUAUGAUUUACUCAUAAUGGAGGAGACGGUGAUGAACCUCAGGCUUAGCGAAGACCGAGGCCAGGUAAGUUACACUGGUUUGCUGCGAUCUUCGUCGGAUUACAACUUUAAAUGCAGGUACUGGCUUGAGCUUACUAUACGAAAAACUACAAAAUACACACAUAGCAGUUCAAAUGCUGACUGAUAUCUUACAAAGGUGCAAUUUUAUGUAGUUUAUAUUGUCUUGACCAUAUGUAGACAGGUUUGCAACCCGUAUUAUUUUUUUAUUUUUUUUUUUUAGGCAGUUAACCAUAAAAAUAAAACUGUAUUUAAAAAAAAAAAUAGAGCAUAGUACAGCUUAAUGUCCCGCAACUUUAAAUUUAAUAACCUUGAACAUAUUUAGAAGUAAACUGCAACAUACACAGAAGUGCAGCAGUAUUUUUAAUGUAAAACCAUCCUGACAAAUUCUUUUUUUCAAGACAAUACUGCACAUACCUUUACUUUUACUCUCAAUACCUUAAGUAUAUUAGAGUAUGCAAGAUAAUACUUUUACUUAAAGGAUAGUUCAGUCAAAAAUGAAAAUUGUGUAAUCAUUUACUCACCCUUCAGUUGCUCCAGGUUUGUAAUUUAUAUUUUUGGGUUUUAAAUCUGAGUAGUGGUUUUUCCCCAAUAUGGUAUUGGUAGUUACUAAAAGUAGUUUACUAAAGUAUGUCAAUAUUUCUUGUACUAAUUACGUUGUCAUAGCUCUUAACAAUUUCUCUUUUGCUUCUUUCCCUAAAUCAGACCAGACCCCUGUGCAGGAUAAAGCUGAAUGUGGCAGCGCUGGACAGGUGUUUAAUGGUUUUGUUCUGAGCAGGGAGACCCUGACUGUGCAGCUGGAUCUACUGAGAAGUGAACGGCAACAUGGAUGGUGUGCCACGAUCCAGACUCUGAUGUUUCUCUUCUGUCUGCCAGAGGUACAUCAUACAGAUGGUCUCCAGUGUUUGACAUGUGCCUCGUUCCACUGUCACCGCACUGUCCUCAGAGUCUCUGAGGAGGUGCUGGCCUUCACCAAGAGACUGACCUCCUGAAGACCCCAGAAUACACGGAGGCAGGGCCGGGCUCAAACUGAUGUUGUUUUCUGAUGUUAAACCUAAGCUAUGUUGUAAAUGGUUAUAAAAAGUACUUUCUAUUAUGUAUAGAACAAUUUGCUUUAAUGUGUAAAAAAGUAUUUACAGGACAAACAAAUAAACAUAUAAAAAUGUUUUGUGAAAAAAAAAAAAAUAAGCUGCAUUAAAAAUAAUGUACAUAAGCACUUUUUAUUUACACAAGUGAAUAUGCAAAAC
ensembl:lncRNA